CGGGGAGGGAACUCCGCUACCAAAGAGGUCCUGACGGAGGCUCUGUCAAAUGCAGGGCUGCAGAGAGUUGUGGAUGGUCUAAGUGAACAUUUAUCGCAAAUGGGCAGGCCACAACAAAAAGGGGCGAAGAAGUAAGCUGCCGUCCGUGAAGCCAUGGAGAAACCAUGACAACAUGUGCUUUUACAGCGAGUACCUUAUCCGUUAGAAACAUCUUCAAGCGAAAGAUUUGACAAGGCCAACCUUGCUCACCAGCGGUCCUGACUUGCUGUCAUCUUAAGGAACACCGGUCGACAAUCUAAGUUGUUGACCUGGUACUAAGUCAUGUUUAAUCUAUUAGUUUUUUUUUUUAUUUUUGGCCUAGAUUAUGCCUUCUGCAGCAAGACGUCGUGCAAAACAUAUUGUUUUUUUUAUUGCAACAUUUUAAAAAGGGCAAGAUGGCGACAUACUCAAGCUCGAGGCUUAUGUUCGUGUCGUCAUCGAACAUUACAAAAGUGAAUCAAAAAUAAAUACAGACAUGCAAAUGGUAAGGAUAAUAAAGUAGACUAAGGUUACAACGAAGAAUAACUAUGGCAAUAUAAAAGAUAAGGAAAUUAUUAAGAGGCGUUGUAUGCAAGUAAAUUACAACAUGGUACUCCACUUCCAGCAUUGUUAAACGUAGUUACA